rnacentral:rRNA from 1 species
GAUGAACGCUGGCGGCGUGCCUAAUACAUGCAAGUCGAGCGAACGGACGAGAAGCUUGCUUCUCUGAUGUUAGCGGCGGACGGGUGAGUAACACGUGGAUAACCUACCUAUAAGACUGGGAUAACUUCGGGAAACCGGAGCUAAUACCGGCUAAUAUUUUGAACCGCAUGGUUCAAAAGUAAAAGACGGUCUUGCUGUCACUUAUAGAUGGAUCCGCGCUGCAUUAGCUAGUUGGUAAGGUAACGGCUUACCAAGGCAACGAUGCAUAGCCGACCUGAGAGGGUGAUCGGCCACACUGGAACUGAGACACGGUCCAGACUCCUACGGGAGGCAGCAGUAGGGAAUCUUCCGCAAAGGGCGAAAGCCUGACGGAGCAACGCCGCGUGAGUGAUGAAGGUCUUCGGAUCGUAAAACUCUGCUAUUAGGGAAGAACAUAUGUGUAAGUAACUGUGCACAUCUUGACGGUACCUAAUCAGAAAGCCACGGCUAACUACGUG